CAUUUAUAUAUCCAUUUAUUCCAAGCCAAACACACACAUGUAGAGAGAGAAAAUGGGAUAAACCGAGAGGCAGCGUGGCCAUCCCACCUUCUGCGAUGGCGGAGCCACGGCGGAGCGGUAGUGGAGUCACGACAGAGUUGUGGUGGAGUCAUGGUGGAGCUGUUGCGGCGCCCCUUGAUUCGAUUACAGUCGGUUACUGGUGAAGCUCAGGCCAAACGAUGAACGAAAACGGUCAGAAAUCGGAAUCGGAGGUUGAAUCUGCUUGGAUUCGGCUUCGUGCGCGUUGGGAGCUAGCGUCUGUUCUCAAUUUCUUGCAGUAUUGGAGAUGUUAUUCAAGUGGUAAACAUGUGUCGUAGACAAGCGGACAUGCUACCAUGGAAACAUUGCUUGGAUAGGAUCAUCGGCAAUCGAUACCAUAACAAAAAAGGAAAAAAAGAAGGUGUAUCUUUUACUAGCCCUUUAUCUUUUAUUAGAGGGGGCAAUCUUGACCCAAAGCCUUCCAAGUGGGUCAAUUUGGGUUACUUUUAAAAUUAUAUGGGUUGGUUUGGGUAAGAUAUUUUAACUAAAUGGGUCACAAUGGGUUACUUGAAAUUCCAUCUUGUUAUUUUCGGGUCAAAGCGGGUCGACAACAUUAAAGAAAUGGGUUGAUGUGGGUCAGUGUCUUAAAGAAACGGGGCAGGUUUCGGGUCGGGACGAGUUUCAUACCGUUUCGACCCGUACCGUUUCGACACGAACCGUUUCAACGCGUACCGUUUCGAGGCGAACCGUUCCGAAUUGAACCAUUUCGACCCGUACCGUUUCGAUGCGUAUCGUUUCGACGCGAACUGUUUAAACCCAUACAUUUUCGACCAAUACCGUUUCGACCGGUACCGUUUCGAUCAGUACCGUUUCGACGCGAACCGACCCGUACCAUUUCGACCAGUACCGUUUCGAAUCGAACUGUUUCGACACGAACCGUUUCGACCGGUACCGUUUCGAAUCGAACAGUUUCGACGCGUACCGUUUCAACGCGAACCGUUUCGACGCGUACCGUUUCGACGCGAACCGUUUCGACCGGUACCGUUUCGAAUCGAACCGUUUUGACGCGUACCGUUUCGACCGAACCGUUUCGACGCGUACCGUUUCGACGCGAACCGUUUCGACCCGUACCGUUUCGACCAGUACCGUUACAACCAGUACCGUGUCGACGCGAACCGUUUCGACCCGUACAAUUAUGUUUUGCAUAUACAUACAUACGCACAGGAUGCAACUGUACGCUUUCGUUUUCACCUUUGCUCACUUCAUAUUACAGAAACAAACAAACUUACACAGUUAUACAUAUGUCUAUAUCUAUAAAGAAACUUCACCUUCGCUCACUUCAUAUUACAGAAACAAACUUACACAUAUGUCUGUAUCUAUAAAGAAACAUAUGUAAUAAAUGCAAAACUUGGUACUGUAACAUUUGGUAUUUUGCACUUAUAUAAAUGCAAAACAUAAUUGUUGUGUUGCAAAAAAAAAAAAAAAAAAAAAAAAAAAAAAAACAUUUUUUUAACCGACCCGACCCGACCCGAAACCCGUUCUUACCCGAACCCGUUCCGACCCAAACCCGUUUCAACCCGAACCCGUUCCGACCCGAACCCGUUUUGACCCGAACCAAAACAACCCUUUUUUUUAAUUGACCUGUUUUGACCCGAACCCGUUUCAACCCGAAACCGUUUUGACCCAUGACCCGACCCGACCCGUUUGCCAGGUCUAUCUUUUAUUCAUUGUGCCAUCAAAAGAGAAAGCAGCACAGGUAUCCUUAUUUAAACUGAAGCUUGUUUAUAAUUGUUUAUUUACUAGAAACAGAAAUGCCGAUCCAUUGCGUUUAUGAACCAUUUGAUUUAUACUUUAUAGUCGUGUAACUACAUAACUAUUUGCAGGUACGCGCUGUGUGCAAGCCUUUAAAGGCGUUUGGAAUACAUACAGUGAGUCCACAUUCAGGGGCCUCCGUAGAUCAUCAGGGUCACGGGUAAUAUACAUGAACCUUUGUAAACUUAACUGCAGCAAACAAUGCAUGCAAAGUUGCAAAUAUGAUUCUUUUUUGGUUUUGGGAGUUGAUGUUUUAGUUUA